rnacentral:rRNA from 1 species
GUGAGAGUUAAGCUAGGUUUUGAGCGGUUUCACCUAGUGCCCAGUGAUGGGCGGGCGAGUGGCCUUGUACUUUUCUAUAAUUUAAUAAAUGAAGUGGUUUUGAAUUACUCUUCGGACAAUUUUAUAGAUGGUAUUGUGAUGGAUGGGAAUGCACCAUCUUGGCGGCUGACAGGGUUCUAUGGAGAACCUAGUUGGGAGAGGAAACACCUCUAUUGGAGUUAUUUGAGGAACAUCCAUGCAAGCAACACUGGACCGUGGAUGAUUAUUGGUGAUUUCAAUGAGAUCACAAACAUGAGUGAGAAAGAAGGAGGAAAUGCUAGGCCUGAACAAUAUAUGAGAAAAUUCAGAGAUUGUAUUGAAGACUGUGGACUGCAUGAGGUCAUGUUCAUAGGUGAUGAUUUUACUUGGAGACGAGGGGAUAUUCGAGAGAGGCUGGACAGAGCCCUUUGCAAUGACUUGUGGGCAGAGAAAUUCCCCCAUGCAGCUGUAGUGCAUGAACAACACGUUCAUUCAGAUCAUAGGCAUGUUCUGCUGGACACGAAUUAUUAUAAAUCG